CGUGGAGUUGAGUUUCUACUGCGGAGCGGGAGCUGAUAGCACAAUGAAAGAGUAAUAUGCAAUGUGUCCAAAUUUAGCUGUAAUCUUAGAUCCAGCCUCCCAAACGAUCAUGGAUUUUGUUUGCAAGAAGUGAGUAACAGACUACACCUUGCAACUUGAAGAAAACAAGACCAGACAAUGACCAAAAACCAAGAGCAGGAAAGGAUGCGAUAAGGUCACCCUUGGAGUCUCUGGGACAAAAGUGGCUCCUGCAGGAUUGUGAAGAAACAUAGUUUGUGGACUACAUUCAAGAAGUGGUUGCCAAUAUACAAACUUCAGUGAAGUAAUUUAUUAACUAUUGAAUCUAAAAGAAAAAAAGGAGAGAAAGUUUGCUCGUGGAUGCUUUAAAAAUGAAGCAUCAUGCUAUGCCCAACUGUGCACUGGAACUGAUCUGUUUUAUAUGACAGUGCCUCCAUUUCGUGCAAUGUAAAGUAAUGCCAACAGCCACAAAGCCAGGCAAAUUGUUGCUCUCUUAAUACCAGGAUUUCAAUAAUGUAGAUGCAAUGGAAUCAAUAAAGGGCAGAAAAAUAUUCUUUUAGCAAACAUUAUGA